AUCAUUACAUCACCCAGGUAUUAAGCUCAGUCCCCAAUAGUUAUCUUUUCUGCUCCUCUUCCUCCUCCCACCCUCCCCACUCAAGUAGACUCCAGUGUCUGUUAUUUCCUUCUUUCUGUUCGUAAGCUCUUAUCAUUUAGCUCCCACUUAUAUGUAAGAACAUGUGGUGUUUGGUUUUCUGUUCCUGCGUUAGUUUGCUGAGGAUGAUAGGCUCCAGCUCCAUCCAUGUUCCCACAAAAGCCAUGAUCUUGUUCUUUUUUAUGGCUGCAUAAUAUUCCAUGGUGUAUAUGUACCACAUUUUCUUUAUCCAGUCUGUCAUUGACAGGCAUUUAGGUUGAUUCCAUGUCUUUGCUAUCGUGAACAGUGCUGCAGUGACCAUUCACGUGUAUGUGUCUUUAUGGUAAAAUGCUUUAUAUUCGUCUGGGUAUACACCCAGUAAUGGGAUUGCUGGGUUGAUGGUAGUUCUUCUUUUAGCUCAGAAAGGCAAUAUUCAAAGACAGGAGAAUAAACUGGGGUGAGAGAGAGAAGGAGUGAAGAAAGGAGAAAAGAAGAGAGAAGAGAGAGGAAGAGAAGGUUCUAUGGAGCUCUAAGUGUUCUAUCUGGUCUGCCCGAGUUAGUAGAGGGAUAAGAAUAAAGAAAAAAAAUGUUACUAUUCCUCUACGGCCCAUCACACACAUGGGUGAAUCAAAUGGGCAAAGCAAGAGUAGAAUUUUACACCACCAUGCCGUAAACCUGGAUUGUUUUGACUGUUGAGCAUCUCCUCUCUCUUUUCUAUUCUUUUUCUUUCUCUUUCUUUCUUUCUUUCCUUCUUUCUUUCUUUCUUUCUUUCUUUCUUUCUUUCUUUCUUUCUCUCUCUCUCUCUCUCUUUCUUUCUCGCUUUCUCUUUCUUUCUCUCUUUCUUUCUCUCUCUCUCUCUCUCUCCCUCUCUCUCUUCUUUUCUUUUCUUUUGAGACGGAGUUUCACUCUUGUUGCCCAGGCUGGAGUGCAGUGGCGCAAUCUCGGCUUACUGAAACCUCCACCUCCCGGGUUCAAGCGAUUAUCCUGCCUUAGCCUCCCAAGUAGCUGGGACUACAGGUGUGUGCUACCACACCCAGCUAAUUUUGUAUUUUUAGCAGAGAUGGGGUUUCACCAUGUUGGUCAGGCUGGUCUCGAACCCCUGACCUCAGAUAAUCCACCCACCUCAGCCUUCCAAAAUGCUGGGAUUACAGACGUAAGCCACUGCACCCGGCCUCACUUUCUUUUACCCACAUCAGUCCUGAUAAUUUCCAGUCCCAGCAUCCUGCCUUCUCCCUCACUCCCGUAGAAGGACUGGGCAAGUGACCAGGCCAAUCAGAGUUCCCCAAUAUCCUGGCCAUGUGGAUUGGUCCAGCUAUGGGCACGUGACCUUAGCUAAGCCAAUCACCUAUUCAGAAUGUUUUUUGUUCUUUAAUACAGAGCUGUGAGAGACAGGGUCUUGGCUUUUGAAUAAUGGGGCUGAAAGAAGUGAGUCAGGGACUGCCAGGGGCUGUCUCCUAUACCAUGAGGAGAAAUCUCGUCUAUAGGGAGAACGAGCCAAAAGAUGGAAAGUCAUUGAGAGGGAGAGGGAGAGGGACAUUGAAGUGGGGGAGAGAAAGAGAGAGACAUAAUAUAAUGUUGAGCUUUAAAUCAGCUCUAUCUAGACUUAGAAAAGCCAAUAACUUCCCACUUUUCUUGGACUGAUUUGAGUUGGUUUUUUGCUACUUUAGCCAAGUGGUCCCCGUGAUGGCUCCCCAUUUCUUUAGAUGAAAAUCCCAAGCCCUCACGUUGGCAUGCCAGGACACACCUGCCCUAGCCUCAAUGGCCUCAUCUCCCGUCCCUCUCGCCAUUGCUUACUCCGCUGCAGCCAUUCCUGCCUCCUUGCUUGUUCGUCAAACGUGCCAGGCCCUACUUCAUACGGAUUAAAUCAGACUUUUUGAGUGGGAUCAGGACAUUAGUAUUUUAUUUGUUUUUAAUUUAAUUUUAUGUUUUGAGACAGGGUCACUCUGUUGCCCAGGCUGGAGUGCAGUGGCACGAACACGGCUCGCUGCAGCCUCGACCUCCCAGGCUCAUGCGAUCCUUCUAAUACUCACCGUUAGCUGGGACCUCAGCCAGCCAGUUAACCAAAAUGUAUGCGUGUGGCCUCCCCAGGUGUUCUCUUCACAUGGGCUAGUUGGACUUCCUCACUACAUGGUGGCUGGUGUGCAAGAGUGAGUGGCUCCAGAAAGCAAGGAGGACAUGCCUAUGAUUUUUUAUGCUCUAGCCCUGGAAGUCAAAUAGCAUCUUUUCUGCUGUAAUCUUAAUCUUAAUGAUUGAGGCAGUUGCUAAGGUUCAAGUGGAAGGGAUCAUAGACUUCAUCACUCAACAUGAGAAAUAGAAGCUUACAACCACCUGUCCUCAGCCUCCCAAGUAGCUGGGACUACAAGCAUGUGCCACCAUGCCUGGCUAAUUUUUUGAAUUUUUUGGAGAGACAGAGUCUCACUAUGUUGCCCAGGUUGGUCUUGAAUUCCUGGGCUCAAGUGAUCCACCCGCCUUGGCCUCCCAAAGUGCUGGGAUUGCAGAUGUGAGCCACUGGGCCCGGCCGGUGACAUUGGUAUUUUUAAAAAGGUACUCAGUGAUUUCAAUGUGUAGCUAGAGCUGAGAAUCACUCCUUCAGACUAAUAAAGAAGGUCAAUGGCUAUUAAGGCAACUACCCUAAAGAAUUAACUUAAAGUCUAUGUGUAAGUUUGUCUCUUGUCAACAUAGAGUCUAGUUUCCUUCUAAUUUUGAUUAUAAAAUAGGAAAGCAUUUUCCUAUACUAUAAAAAAGUUUGCUUUAAGAGUCCCAGGACUGAUUUAUUAUGACCUUGAGAUUUAAAAACAUUUAUUAUUGGAAACCAUGUUUGUUUGAACCAUGUUUGUUUGAAUGUUUAUUGUAGAAAAGUCCAUUUUUCCUUUUAAAGUCAUAAACUAAAUUUGUUACAGGAGGUUGAUUUUGUGUUCCAAGCCUGUGAUCAUUAACUGUUUUCCAGCUCUACCAGCAUCCUGUCCAAGCCUUUAAGAUGAGGAACAAAUUCUAUGUGAGGAGAAAUGGCAAAAAUUGGUAUGCCUCUGCUUUUCUGAUUUCCCAUUCCCUUCCAUUUCUCUUAUUAACAAGUAAAAGUAAGGAAAUCCUGUCCUGUGGAUAACUUCCCAUUGACUUGCAGAGAGCUCAGACAUGCUAUGGUAGAUAUGGAUACUAUUUUGUUUUUGUUUUUUGAGAUGGAGUCUUGCUCAGUCACCCAGGCUGGAGUGCAGUGGCAUGAUCUCAGCCCACUGCAAACUCCGCCUCCCAGGUUCAAGUGAUUCUCCUGACUCAGCCUCCCGAGUAGCUGGGAUUACAAGCAGAUGCCACCACACCCAGCUAAUUUUUGUAUUUUUAGUAGAGACAAGGUUUAACCAUCUUUACUAAACAGACUAGGCCCGUCUUGAACUCCUGACUUCAAGUGAUCUGCCCGCCUCAGCCUCCCAACGUGCUGGGAUUAUAGGUGUGAGACACUGCACCUUGCCAAUGGUGAAUAUUGUUGAUUUAAAAUAAUAGAUAUAAUAAAUCUCCAAUCUCAGGGAAGUUUCCAAGUCCUAAAGUCAAAACUUCCGAUCUUGCCGUGUGCUUGAAUUAUCCUCAAUUAGAGUCCCUGCUGCUGUUGCAUGUCGCUGUAAUUAUUCUGUCAUCGUUAAUUCAAUGAAGCCUAUUAACCCACAUCAGAUAGUGUAUUUAUCUACAAUGCAUGUUACCUGCUCCUCUAGAUAAGACAGCUGUCAUACUUCAAGUCUGCUGUCUCUUUGUUGAGGUCCAGUAGUGUCAGUCUGCAAGUGUUUCAUGUUUCAUAUACAUUACAGAAUCCCCAUUAAUGGUUGAUAUGAUUAGGCUUUGUGUCCCCACCCAAAUCUCAUCUUGAAUUACAUUCCCUAUAAUCCCCACAUGUCAAGGGAGAGACCAGGUGGAGAUAAUUAAAUAAUGGGGGCAGUUUCCCCCACGCUGUUUUCAUGACAGUGAGUUCUCACGAGAUCUGAUGGUUUUAUAAGGAACGCUUCCCUCUUUGCUCGGCAUUUCUCCUUCCUGCUGCCUUGUGAAGAAGAUGCAUUGUUUUCCUCUUCACUUUCUGCCACAAUUGUAAGUUUCCUGAGGCCUCCCCAGCCAUGCUGAACUGUAAGUCAAUUAAACCUCUUUCCUUUAUAAAUUACACAGUCUCAGGCAGUUCUUUACAGCAGUAUGAAAAUGGAGUAAUACAAUGAUGUUCUUAUAACUUCCCAGACUGGAAGGCUUGCUGGUCUUGUGAGAUACUGAACUGGAGACAGCAGAAAAAUGCAUCCUCCUGAUAUUGACUUUGGACUUGCACUGGAAUUACACCCCAGCUUUCCUGAUUCUACAGUUUGAAGAUGGUAGAUUGUGGGACUUCUCAGACUCCAUAAUGAGGGCUUGGAGGCUGUAGCAGUGAGUGGUGCUGCUGUCCUAAUGUCCUGACUAUACCGGGAGCCACUCUUCGAUCAUUCUUCUGUCCAUUCAGAUGAGUAGAGAUGGGCUGCAUGAACGGUUUUAUCCCCAGGAUCAAGUGGAGCAUCUGGCAUGGAACAGCCAGCCACUCAAUGCGAGGGGCUUUGUGGAGAGCUGUCCAUCAUCCUUGCCUGCCCAAGGACAAUGACUUCUCAGCUUUCACCAUGCAUCCUGCAGCCAUGGAGGGAAGCAAAAUUAACUGGUCUCCAUCAGCCUCCCCAUCAAACAUUUGCUGAGCACCCAUCAUGUGCAAAAUAUUGACUAGGAACUGUGGGAGAUGGGAAGAAUUCUGGAAACUCCUAACUCUCAAGGAAUUUGCAGGGUUAUCAGACAGUUGCCACACAAAGACAUAAAAACAUCCCCUGCUAAAAUAAAGACCACGCCAGAUAUGUGCUGUAGGUAUUCACCCCUGCAGGAACUCUGGGGAAAAUGGGGCAGGAGGAGUCACCCUUGGAUGUCACAAAUGGCUCUCCAAAGGAAAUAGAACAACAUCGCAGCAUGAAUUCUGAAGCCGGCCCACCUGCCUGCCUUGAAUUACAGCUUCCACCAGCUGUCUGGCCUUGGACAAACUACUUAACUCUCCACAUCUGUCAAAUGGGGAUAAUAAUAUAACAAUCCCCCAAUAUUGUGAGGAUGAAAUAAGCUAAUACUUAGGAAAAGCUUGGAACAGUGCUUGGCACGUCUUAAGUGUGAUAUGUGUGAGCUCCUUCCUUGAUUCUCAUUCUGACUUGAAGAGGAUUUUUAGAGGGGAGACCCAGGGAACAGUGGGGCAGCCUAGACGGGUGGAAAGUGUUAUGCUGGAGGCUUAACCUAACCUGGUUCAAAACCUGGUUCUGCUAUUUCUACCAGUGUGACCUUGACUUAAACUCUCCAAAGCUCAGUUCCUCACUUAUAAAAUGGUAAUAACAAAACCAAUUUCAUUGAAAACGUAUGCUAACGAUGCCAUGAUAAAUAAUAGUUAUUAUUAAAGAGAAACACAGUAAAGAAGUUCCCAGAGGGAGGUGAAUAAAUUAAGCAUGAUGACGUGCCUUGCUACUUCCCCAUCUUUCUCUUCUUCCCCCAGAUUUGUUCAAGGUCUCAUCAUUACUGGUUUGCAUUUCUAUUUUAAUCAUGUUAUAGGUUUACAGUAUUUUUCCCCCUGCAUCUUUAUAUGCUAUAAUUUGGGUACUAUUUUUACACAACGAAGCCAUUUUUAACCGAGAACAGAUUCAAUUGUCUUUCAGCAUAUAUCAUUGUUUAUCUUAAUUAAUGCUAAAAUAUUCUUAGGGGGAAAAACACAUCCCACAGAGUAUUAUGCGAAGAAACUUAGCAUUCAUUUUUGCCUCCCUCUUUUCUGGCAUAUCAAUUUAUAAAGGUUUUAGCAUCCUGUUAUUUCAAUGACAAUAAUGCAUGCUCUUAAACGCAGACACCCAUCUGUGGGAAGCAAGUCACAGGGUGUCAACAGCAGCAAGGUGUGUGUUGCAGUGGAGGUGGAGGAUUGACAGCUGGAAGAAGAAGGGGAUUUUGCUGGUGAGAAUAAUGCCAAGUGAAGUCAUAGGCUUUGUCUCUGAUUGAUCCAUGGAAACAUUCCUUGAGUAGAGCUGAAUCUAGCUAGAUUCCAUGCUUGGAGUCUUUCUUAGUAAGGCUACUACUAUAAGCACAGAUGAUGGAAAAUGGAUGAUGUUUUUAUUCAUCAUCCAUUCUCUUUCCUUCAAAUAAGAUGCCCCAUGCACCUCUGAGGGAAUGACCCUUUACACACUCAACCUAAGUUUUUUGCCUCUCCCUCCAGCUCUAGGGUGGGCAUGUGAUAUAGAACUGACCAAUCAAUAUCUAUUAUCUUUCUGGCCACAGUGAUUGGGCAAGGGAUAGCCAUGUGACCCAAUCAGAGCCAAGAGACUCAGUUUUGAGGCUUUAGAUAGAACCACUGGGAAAGAGGGUUCUCUUUCUACUGGGAUGCUGACCUGGCAGGAAUAUUACCCAGAGCUGCCUGUGACCAUCUUUACUAUGAAAAGGGGAGAGCUUGCCAAAGAAUGAAGCUGUAUUAUAGUCUGUUCUCAUGCUGCUAAUAAAGACAUACCUGAGAUGGGGUAAUUUAUAAAGGAAAGAGGUUUAAUGGACUCAAAGUUCCACAUGUCUGGGGAGGCCUCACAAUCAUGGCAGAAGGCAAACGAGGAGCAAAGUCACGUCGUACAUGGUGGAAGGCAGGAGAGCGUGUGCAGGGAAACUCCCCUUCAUAAAACUAUCAGAUCUCGUGAGACUUACGAGAACAACACAGGAAAGACCCGCCCCCAUGAUUCAUUUACCUCCCACUGGGUCCCUCCCAUGACACAUGGGAAUUAAGGGAGCUACAAUUCGAGAUGAGAUUUAGGUGGGGACACAGCCAAACCAUAUCAGAAGCCAAUAUGAAAGAAAACAGAACUGAGAGAUGGAGGCAGACUCUUGAUGACAACUCCUGGACCCUGGAUCAAUUUUUGUUUAAAGCCAGUCUGCACUCUGCAUCUUUGAUGUAAACCAAUGUAUUUCCUUUAUUUGUUUGUUUAAACUAAAUUAAGUCAUUUGUAAUUUAAAGAGUUCAGAGAGGUGCCGUGUUUCAGUAGGGAACUGUAAAAAGCCAGGAUAUUCUGUAAAUUAGAAGGGAAUAAUGUGGUGUUGACCACAUCUGGGAGAAUGUGCAUCUGAGGGUGUCUUGCAUGCCAAACUCACUUGUCUUCCUAAUCAAGCAAUAGUUUGGUAACUGAGAAGUUCCAAGUAGCCUUUAAGUCACACAAUCAUACUAGAGGAACUCCUAAGAACCUGGGUGACAUUGUGAUAUAAAAUGUGGAACUUCACUAGGUUAUGCAAGAACCUCUGAAAAGGGUUGAUAGGAAGGGUGUACGUUAGGUGUGUAAAGAACUAGGUGUGGGGGAACUAACUAGUACAAAAGGGAUCUGGUGAAUUUGGAUUCUACCCUACUCGAGAUGAUGUUGGAGGGCUCUGAUCAAAGUAGGGGUUUGGGGGCAGAAUUAUGACAAGUAUCUAUAGGAAGUCACUAUCUUUUAUUAAAAAUUUGUUGUGAACCUGUCCUCACUCAUAGUUGGGAAUUGAACAAUGAGAACACAUGGACACAGGAAGGGGAACAUCACACUCUGGGGACUGUUGUGGGGAGGGGGGAGGGAUAGCAUUAGGAGAUAUACCUAAUGCUAAAUGACGAGUUAAUGGGUGCAGCACACCAGCAUGGCACAUGUAUACAUAUGUAACUAACCUGCACAUUUGUGCACAUGUACCCUAAAACUUAAAGUAUAACAAAAAAUUUGUUGUGAACCAGAUACUGUACUAAAUGACUUACCUACACUGUUGUAUUUAAUUCUCUCAACAACCUGAUGAGUUCUGUAUCUUAUUAUAUCCAUUUUACAUGUAAGGGAGCUGAGGCUUAGAAAGCUGGAGUGACUUGGUCUGCCAUGGCUAGGAUUUCAGCUCAUGUCUGUAUGACUCGAAAGCAUCUAGUGGGUGGUAACAUUGGUUUGUAGACUUGAAACAACUUUGGCUAAUGACUGGGGCACAUGGAAGAGGGGACAGAGUCCAGCUUCCAAAGUUAGAAGGCUACCAAAACUAAGGUUUUGGUCAGAGAUUCAACAUUCCAGGGGCAGACCCUGAUCCCAAUGGGAGAGUAGAUUUGAUAGGGAAACUGAGGCAGGAUCCUGGGACUGGAGCCAACACAGGGAGCAUUAGUUGGGAGGGUUGUUGUGACCAGUCAACAUACUUCUGGGGGCUUGUGGCAAAGAACAAACACAGAACUCCAAAUGAAUUCCCUGCCAGAGCUUGUUCAGAGUUGGCUUGGGAUAGGAGAAUCUGAGGGGAGUAUGAGGCUGACAGAGAAAAAAGAGAGUCUUGUGGAAUCCUAAGAUUUAAAAAGAGAGGAAGAAAAGAUGCCUUUUAUUUAUUAAACAGUGAUUACGAAAUACCUAACACAUGGCCACGAUUAGACUAGGCUCUUCCCAUACAUGAAGCUCAGAGAGGUCAAGUGAGUUGUUCAGGGUAACACAGGAGCUGUGCCUGGGUAUGAAGCUGUAUCUGCUCAAACAUAAAGGUCUUUUCAUGGUGCCAGAGUCUACAUUUCCCAGAGUACUAAGAUAGUGACUUGAUCAUCAGCACUAAAUAUGUGUCGUAAAGAUAGCUCACAUUUACAGAUAUUAUAGCUACUCUGUGCCCUGCAAGGUGCUAACGACUUUACUUGGAUUAUCUCAACUUAUCCCCCAGACAACCUAUGACGUUUAGCCAGGCAUCAUCAUCAUCAUCAUCAUCAUCAUAUCAUCGUUAUCCUCAUCCUCAUCCUCAUCAUUGUUCUUGAAUGAUGAAAAUUGGAGCUCAGAAACUCAACCUGUGUCAAGAUUACAAAGCUAGCAAUUCUGGGUCAGAACCUGAACCCAGGCAGCCCGCACUUUCGAUGUGCCCAAGCUUAUAUCUCCACCUACAACUCUGCCUCAGUUUCUCCCUCUGUAAAAUGAAGACAGUAAUAAGGCACCUCACAAGGUUAUUGUGAGAACAAAAUGAACCGCUGCAUACUAGGAGCUUAACAGACUGGCAAAGAAAACUCCAUCAAUGUUGGCUUUCAUCGGGGCUAUUUUAAUUUUUGCAUCACCCUCUUCAAAAGGGCACUUCUCGCUUUCCCACGGCUAAGCUGCCACACUCAAGUGUGCUGGAAAAAAAGGCUGGGUAGCUCACAACGUGCGGGGGCAUCUUAGUGUAAUCCUGGGGUGAGAGAUAAAAGAAGCUCGCUUGACAUAACUUCAUAAACCCAUUUUAAUCUAAACAUUGAUUUUCCUUUGGAACAAUCCCUUUCCCCUUGCUCACAGUCCCACCACGCCUCUAAUACAGACGUGGGUAUUGAUAACAUUAUUGAGAUAAAACAGUCGCCUCUUUCUUAUUCCCUUUAUUCAUCAGUCACCCCAGGCCUGUCUUUGUCUUUUUUCAUCCUCUGCUACCCAGCAUUAUUCAUUGGAGUGCCUUCUUUUCCCUCACCCUCCAUAACUCAAGGUGAAAGUUUUCAGUAAUGACAAGUAGUAAAAUAUGAGAGAUUUAAGCAAAUUCAACUGGAAAUAAUGUGAAAAAAUAUUAUUCGCUCCGGACACAUGCUUCUCUUUUGAUCUUCCUUGUCCAAGAUACAUUUUAAAAAAAAUACUCCUUUGAUAACAAGAAGUGAGCAGGGGCUAAAAGGAAACCUUAUGUCUUUGUUGGGAAAUAAUUAGUCUGAUCGAAUCGCUUGCUUUCUGAUGGACAAAGGAGUCUUUAAAGAAAAUCAUUUGUGUUCUCUGGGCCCCUUCAGGCAGCACAGCUUUCCGAGGCUUGGGCUUUUAGAUGAGAGUUUGGGGAAUGGAAAAUUUCCCUGAAUAAGAAAUCAGAGAGCUUGACCUACACAGUUACCUCUCUCUUAACAUGACAACAAUUGGCAAUUACUUUUUGAUCCAAAGUGUGAGGAUGAAUAUGGAAAGGAAGGGCGAAUCAUUCUCCUUCUUCUCAAGCUCAUUCUCUCUUUAGACCUGCACCUGAAGCUGAUUUUCUUUUCUUUUUUUUUUUUUUCCAGUCCCAGCAAUUCAAUAUAAUCUAUAGCUGGAAAUACCUAUGUUAGCUGCAGCUGGGGGAAAAAGCAGUUGGCAAAUUCAUGAAUCAGGGCUUCUUUUCUUUUUCGCUUGUGAAAGGUAACUUCCGACAGCUUAAGGGUGAUUUGGAAUGAAGCGUGGGUUGGUUCCUAGUGUCAGCACAUUGCCUAGUUGUUCCAGCCAGGCUGGCUGUAAUGAAGCGUGGACAUCCAUACAUAGUUUCAGUGUCAGGGACACCGGUGACUCUAAUGAAGAGAGGACCUUAACUUUGAUGCAGAAUCAUGAUUGUUUAUAGCUGUGUGGUGAAGAAUGGGCUCUGAAAUCCAUCGCACUUCGGUGAAAAUGCUGUUUGGUCUGCAAUGUGAAGCUGAUAGCUUAAUUUCUCUGAUACUCAGUGUCUUUACCUGUAAAAUGGUGCCAAUAUCAAAGUAGCUGUCUGGUAUAGCAGGGUUUCUUAAUCUUGGCAUUAUCAACAUUUGGGGCCAGGACAUUCUUCAUGGUGAGGGGCUGCCCUGGGCAUUGUAGGGUGUUUAGCAGCAUCGUUAGCUUCUACCCACUAGAUGCCAGUAGCACUCUCCCCCCACCCCAUUAUGACAACAAAAAUCGUCUCCAGACACUGCCAGUGUCCCCUGGGAGGCGCAAUCCCUCCUCCCUCCCCUCACCGAAAGCCGCUGCCAUGGAGCUAUUGUGAGAAUGAAAUGAAAUAAUCCAUACAAUGCUCUCAGCACUGUUUAGUAGACAGUACAUAGUAAAUGCUCAAUACGAAUUAGUUGUUACUCAGACACCAAGAGGGUAACAACAGGCGCACAGACACUGGGGCCUAUUUGAGGGUGGAGGAUGAGAGGAGGGAGAGGAGCAGAAAAAAUAACUAUUGGGUACUAGGCUUAGUACCUGGGUGAUGAAAUCACAAACCCUAGUGGCACAAGUUUACCUAUAGAACCAACCUGCACAUGUACAUCUGAAUCUAAAAUAAAAGUUUGAAAAAUGAAUAAAUAACUAUUACUUGUUACUGUAUUAAUAAAACUGUCAAU
rnacentral:lncRNA from 1 species